rnacentral:rRNA from 1 species
CGGUAAAGACGCAUGCAGGCGGCCGCGUUUAAGUCAGAUGUGAAAGCCCGGGGCUUAACCUCGGAAUUGCAUUUGAAACUGGCAGGCUAGAGUCUUGUAGAGGGGGGUAGGAAUUUCAGGUGUAGCGGUGAAAUGCGUAGAGAUCUGAAGGAAUACCAGUGGCGAAGGCGGCCCCCUCGGACAAAGACUGACGCUCAGAUGCGAAAGCGUGGGGAGCAAACAGGAUUAGAUACCCUGGUAG